AUUGAACGCUGGCGGCAUGCCUUACACAUGCAAGUCGAACGGUAACAGGUCUUCGGAUGCUGACGAGUGGCGAACGGGUGAGUAAUACAUCGGAACGUGCCCGAGAGUGGGGGAUAACGAAGCGAAAGCUUUGCUAAUACCGCAUACGAUCUCAGGAUGAAAGCAGGGGACCGCAAGGCCUUGCGCUCACGGAGCGGCCGAUGGCAGAUUAGGUAGUUGGUGGGAUAAAAGCUUACCAAGCCGACGAUCUGUAGCUGGUCUGAGAGGACGACCAGCCACACUGGGACUGAGACACGGCCCAGACUCCUACGGGAGGCAGCAGUGGGGAAUUUUGGACAAUGGGCGCAAGCCUGAUCCAGCCAUGCCGCGUGCAGGAUGAAGGCCUUCGGGUUGUAAACUGCUUUGUACGGACGAAAAGACUCUGGUUAAUAACCUGGGUCCAUGACGGUACCGUAAGAAUAAGCACCGGCGUAACUACGUGCCAGCAGCCG
rnacentral:rRNA from 1 species